ACGAACGCUGGCGGCGUGCUUAACACAUGCAAGUCGAACGGAAAGGCCUCUUUCGGGGGGUACUCGAGUGGCGAACGGGUGAGUAACACGUGAGUAACCUGCCCUUGACUUUGGGAUAACUUCAGGAAACUGGGGCUAAUACCGGAUAGGAGCUCCUGCUGCGUGGUGGGGGUUGGAAAGUUUCGGCGGUUGGGGAUGGACUCGCGGCUUAUCAGCUUGUUGGUGGGGUAGUGGCUUACCAAGGCUUUGACGGGUAGCCGGCCUGAGAGGGUGACCGGCCACAUUGGGACUGAGAUACGGCCCAGACUCCUACGGGAGGCAGCAGUGGGGAAUAUUGCACAAUGGGUGGAAGCCUGAUGCAGCAACGCCGUGUGCGGGAUGACGGCCUUCGGGUUGUAAACCGCUUUCGCUCAUGACGAAGCUUUGUGUGACGGUAGUGGGUAAAGAAGCACCGGCUAACUACGUG
rnacentral:rRNA from 1 species